rnacentral:lncRNA from 1 species
UACUUUAUUUAGAAUUCUGCUCCCUUAAAAAUAGCAAAAUCUAAUUGUUAAAAAGUUUUGAAAAACAAAUAUUGCAAGGAAUACAAAAUUAAAAAGAUACAGGAAGACUGAAAGCCAAAUGUGAAAAGACAAGAAACAUAAAAUACACAUCAGAGACAGCAAAUACGAUUCAAAUAUUAUAAAAGGUAAUAUUAACAAUUGGUGUCCGAGGGAGGUAGUUGCUAAAUUGACAAAUGACAUGUCCAUUGACUCUGAAUUAAAACACUGGGAAGACAAAUAUGAAAAGAGUCUCAGAAGGCUUUAGGAUGAGAUCAGAGCCUGAGAUGGGACAUAGAUAAUUGCAGUUCAAUAGCAGCAUUAGGAAAAGCAAACAGGAGCCUGGAGUAGUUGUAAGUCACAGAGCACAGCCAUGGGAGUAGAAGUAGAGACAGAAAUGCUAAGUGUCUUGAAGUGCAAGUUGGAAAACAGGGUGAAGUGGAAGCAACCCAUAAAGCUGAGCAGGGUGAGGGGCAUCCAGGCCCCCAGAGUAUGCACUAAGCGGGUUUGCACAGAUUUUGUACCUACUUAAAAGUUUCUGGGAUAAAGAGUGACACUAUGAUCUGUAUUCUUUCCUCUUCAAAAUGAUUUUUGGAAAAUUAUAGCAUUGACUCUGAUCAUUUGAAUAAGAUAGUUCUAAACUAUUAUCCUUGUAUGAAUGGGGAAUUAUAUCUUAUAAAUGGCACUGCAUUAUACUAUAUGAUUUUCAAAACGACUUAAAUAUUAAGAAAAUAUAUAUUAUAAAAGAUUUGGCUUUUUUCUCUUAGAUUUCUGAAGAUUUCUGUGUGCUUAUGACAAUCUUGUGUAAAUGUAAUUUGGAUAAAGAAUGUAAAUAUGCUUGCAAAUAAUUUUCAAAAUAAUGCUAAUCUAAUAGAGGCAUGGAACAUGUCUACCCAUGGAAUCAAGACAUGGAUAUCUG